UGACCUUACGUCACAAGGAAUCCCUCAAAUUGCGUGAGGGGAAAUCGGCACCUAGAGCCUUACUUGAUCCUCAACCUUAAUUCCAAUGUUGUAUGAUUCCACGAAGAUUCCCUGGUGUGAAAAAUGGCUGGUGUAUUUGACUUAGAACUCACCGAAGAAGGUGGACGAUCAGAGGAAUUGUCCGAUGAUGAAUAUUUUGAGACCGAUGAAUCUAGUGGGCGCCAACAGGAAUAUGGAGGUGAUGGCUUGCCAAAUGAGGAGAUCAUGGAGACUCUGGAGCUGUCAGCCCAGACAGUGAAUCCCAGCAUAGUUCGGAAGAUUGGAAGAGAAAGCUUUGAAAUAGUUAGUUUGCUCGGGAAAGGCGGCUAUGGCAAGGUGUUGUUGGCCGAGAUGCUGGAUGAGAAUAGGAAAAAGUAUGACCCCCCACGACUUUAUGCUAUGAAAGUCUUGAAAAAGGCCAGUAUAGCAAGAAACCAGAAAGACACCGCCCACACACGUGCUGAACGUAACAUCCUUGAGGCAGUAAAGCAUCCAUUCAUUGUAGAUCUGCACUAUGCUUUCCAAACAGACGGAAAACUGUACUUGAUAUUAGAAUAUCUUCCAGGGGGGGAACUGUUUACCCAUUUAGAAAGAGAGGGUAUUUUCAUGGAGGACAUGGCCAGUUUCUACCUAGGUGAAAUUCUGUUGGCUAUUGAACAUCUACACACACUUGGUGUUAUAUAUAGAGAUCUGAAACCAGAGAAUGUCUUGCUUGAUUCUAAAGGCCAUAUUAAGUUAACAGAUUUUGGGCUAUGUAAAGAAAGUAUUUCUCUUGGUGAUAUAACACACACAUUCUGUGGAACUAUUGAAUACAUGGCUCCUGAAAUAGUUCAAAGGUCAGGUCAUGGAAAGGCAGUUGAUUGGUGGAGUUUAGGUGCUUUAAUGUAUGAUAUGCUUACUGGGCAGCCUCCAUUUUCUGGUGAAAAUAGAAAGAAAACUAUUGAUAAGAUUUUAAGAGCAAAGCUUAGUCUUCCACCUUACCUAACUAAUGAAGCUCGUGGCCUUUUGAAGAAGUUGCUGAAGAAGAAUCCAUCUGAGCGCUUAGGCAGUGGACCUGAUGAUGCUGGACCCAUUAAGAGCCAUGCCUUCUUCAGACAUACUAAUUGGAAUGAUCUACUUCAUAAAAGAAUAGAACCACCAAUUAAAAUAGGAGUGACAAGUGCAUACGAUGUUAGCCUUUUUGACACCAAGUUCACCAAGCAGACUCCCUGUGAUUCUCCUGUAGACAUGUCAGUCUUCAGUCCCAGCAUCAAUAUCUUUGAGGGAUUUACAUAUGUAGCGCCAUCUGUCCUAGCUGACUUGGCCACACAGCCUUGGAUCUCUGAAAGAGGACCAAGGUCUCCACGCAAAAGUUAUAAAGGGGAAAGCUACAUGUUAAACAAUGGCCUAGAAGGAUUUUAUCAAGCUAACGCUGCAGCUGCCCACGACAUCGCAGCCCAGAGAAACCGAGGACCUCAGCAGUGCCACGCACCCACCACAGUAGUUGCUUCAUCCCGCCCACUCAACGGAUAUGACAUGGAAGAAAUGGACACGAGCGGAGCGGCCGGUGGAGCCCCGCCCGCCACAUCGGCGAUCCCAACACACCAUCACAGGUCUAACGCUACUACUUCUGCUAUUUUACCCAUCGCCAACCCCCAAAGACAACAGCAAAGGCGCCGAGCCUACCCGGGUACACAUAACCGCCCCUCACACCUUCAACGGCUUGUAUGAUAACGUAGCUUUAGGAAAUCAAAUUUUUUUUUCAGUUUUAGUCAUUUUCUUUUUGUAACUCAUUUAUUUUAAAAACUAGUAAACAGAUUUAUUGCUUGGAAUAUUUUUGUUUUACCAAGCUAAACCGGUGUCUGAGUUAUGCAAUUCUACAACACUCAGACCUUCUGUGGAAUAGAUACCAUUGUGCAUUAAUUAUCAUCUGGUUUUUUUUAUACACUGGUUAUGUCUGAUUUGCCGAGUCAGCUCAUAGAUUAGAAACUUGGGACUGGGUGUCUUAUUGCCUAACACUUCUUGCCACGACACAUUUCUCAACACAUUGGAUGGCGUGUUUUUUUUUUUCUCCUCUUGAUAGCAUUUGAAUGGCAGCGCGUUAGGGUUAGCUAGGUUUUGUGAUACUCUAAGUUAACAUUCCACAAACAUCGGGUGUGAUUAUUUGUAUGUACAGAGGUCAGUAAUCAUUAGCUGCCCUGGAUAAAGAAUAAACAGUUUAGUUAUAAGACAUAAAUUUGAUUCUAUGCUAUAAGGGCUAGUUAAAGUGUUAUUGGGUUACCCUUGUAAUUGGGAGAGGGGGUAAAUUCAAUGGUUAAGAGAGGGGUAAGAAUUAUUUUGAAAAAUUUUUUAAUCAAAAGUUGAGUUUGGUUUUGAGCAUGACAUCAGUUUUCUUCUCAGCCUGAUUGGGCUAAAUAAAAUGAUCAUAGACAAAAUUGUAUAAUAGCCUAUGGCUGUAAUUUAACUGAGCUAUAAAUAUGGAGCUCUUACACUGUUGUGUACCCAGCCUCUCACUGGUGGCAUUGGUAACACGUCUCAACCGGUGGUUCUGCUUACCUUCAUCUCAACCGGUGGUUAUGUAGGCAAACAUAAAAUCUUUGUUUCAAAAGCUCAUCUAUUUAAGAACUUAAAACAAUGAACUAAUGGCACAUUACAGUAUAGUAGUGAACUAGCUUUCUUCUGUCUGGUUAGGUGGAAGCUUAUCUCUAAUACUCUGAUACUGGCAUUUGAUUGUGUGCAUAAGAUGUGUUGUAGUGUGGGCUUGUGUUGAUGGCAUGUCUGUGUUGAUAUCAAUCGUUCAAGCAUGUUGAUAAAGAAUUUUUUAAUCAGAAGAAAAAAAUUUUGGUUGGAAUAUAUUUUUCUCCUUGAUUUAAAAAACUAGAUUUUUAUCGUCAUUGCACAUUGCUUUAAUUACUGUCCUCAUAAUAUUAUGCUGUGAGCAUAAUAAUUAUAUUAUAAUUUACAAUAAAUACAUUUAUAUUUUAACAUACCUAAAUUAUUUGUAUCAAGUAUGAAAUCAAUUACGGUUGCCUUUUUCUCCAAAUAAUUGAUGAUUCAUGUUUUCCUUAAUCUUUUUUGUACUAUUCAUGGCCAAAUCAACACAAGUAAUUACCUGUUGUUUCAUUUACAUAUCUGAUUAACAUUAAAAACUUAAGUUUAAUAGAUUACUGUCGUUAAAGAAAUAUCUUCCAAGUUAAACUUCUGCUCCUGCACUUAACAAGAAUAUAAUUCCAUUUAUUUAUAAUUUUUAUUUGUGCUUACUUAAUAAAUUACACUCAGCUCUUAUGCUUGUAAAUACAUUCUUUAAAAAAUCCCCCUGUACCCCCCACCCCCCAAAUUUCUUUCAUAACAGACGUUCCUGUACCAUUAGCUAAUGUGAUGGAACAAUUGUAAUAUACAUUCUCUUGAAGAUAAACAUCAACCACUCGCUAUCUACCAGAGGAAUUAAAGUCUUUUCAAAUAAAUGUUCAAUAUUCCAUAUUUAUGCUGAAUGUGUGUAUUGAGAGAGGAAGGGUAACUCCUGCAUCAAUUUAUUAUAGAAGUUUGCAUUUUUUUUUUGUCUUAAUUUUUUUUUUUUUUUUUUCAUUUGAGAAUUUUUACAUGUUAAAAAUAAUGUCUCAUACAUGUUAAUUUUUUAACCUCAUAAAAAUAGCAAUACUUUUUGUUAACAAAACAUUUUUAAAAAUUUAAUGCAUAAUUAUUGUAAUAAAAUGUAUAACAGAUUAAAUUAUUAAAAUAAUGCUUCUAAAAUUUACUUUACUACUUUUAUUCAAAUCAAAAUGGUUCAGGUCACAUCACAAGUAUGUCUGUCUUUCUAAAUUUAAAGUCAGAAAAUGGAACCAAGAAAAAACCAAAUAUGCUUUAACUCCAGGGCAAGGAGUUUUAUUUUAACCAUACAAUGUUUGUAAUUAACUUAUAAAACUAAUUGUUUGCUAAUAAACUAUUCUCUUUGUUGAAUCUAGCUUUAUUAAUUUAAAAUUAAAAUAAGGAAAGUAUAAUUGCAAUUUGACAAGAGUCGACAAAUUUUCUAAUAGAUCAAAUGUUCGAUAAAGUUUAUUAUAAUUAUAUACAGUUUUUUAAAACUUUAUUUUGGUUGUUUUUACCAAGUUUUCUUCCUUCAGCUAGAGAUUUAAAAAAAACUUUUGUUGUUCAUGUUUAUAUAUUGACUUCAGGCUUUAAAUAUCUGUAAUUCUGUACAAUUUUAUCAAGACAGUUUACUUGACGUUGAUAGGCUAAGUAAAUUUAAAAUUCUGUAAUUAAUAGUGAUUGGUGUAAAAGCACUUUGUCUUUAUGAUUAAAUUUGAACUUGAUUGUAACAUUAAUCUGCCUUGAAAUGAAACUUACUUGAUAUCUUUUGAUGGUGAUAUUGGUGAAAUAUUUUUCUCCAUGAUGUCAAUACUGCUUUUUAUUUUUAUUUGAAUUUUAGAAAUGCUUUAUCUCACAGUAAGUAACAUAAUUUCCUAACAAAUCCAGGCUGUUUCUUCAAACACACUUUCUGAUUUUAGUUCUCAUAAAUUAAUUCAAAAUUAACAAAAACAAACUGCAUUUGUAUACAAAAAAUCUCAACAUACAUUCUUAUUUAAAUGUUACUCUACUUAAAUAAAAUACAAAUUUAAAAUUAUUAUGGCAAUUAUAUUUGUUUCAGAGUGAGCAAAAUUUGUUUUUAUUUUUUGGGGUAGUUUAUUCUUUCAAUAGGGUAAUGACUUUUGAAUAUCAUGAAUAAAGCAAUUGUGUAUUCAUCCUUUUCCAAGUAUUUUUAGUUCAUUUUUUCCUCUUAAUCACUGAGUAUGUAAUAAAUUUCUUUUAUAUUACAAUCACUAGCAACUAUGAUUGCCUCUAGAAUCUAUAUGUGAUUAAGAUUAAUCGUUUCACAAUUUCAAAUUAAGGUGAAUUAUUUAACAAUUUAAAAAAAAAAUGAUACUAGCUGAUCAAAAUAGUUGAUUAUGUGCACAGUGAAAAAAGGUUGAAAUAUAUUUCCAACAACCAACCUAGUCAUGAUUACUAAAUAGUCAUAUUUCUGUGAUCCUAAAUGCAACAUUUUUUGUUUCGGUAAUGACGGUAGGCCUACCUGUUUUGUAAUAACCCAUACAUUCUUAAAAUAUAUGUUUCAUUUUAAAAUGCUAUAAUUUGUCAUUCAAUAUUCAUUUAUGGAUUUUCUAAAUGUACAAUAGUUUAGUAUAUAAACUGCAUUGUCUAUUUCAAUCGAAACUAUGCAGUUUUGAUAAAUACUUAUUUUCCUUUCUAGUAAAAUUAUUUCUUAUUUAAAUGUUAUUAUAUUUUUUAUUUUUAUUCCUUUUUUUAAAUUUCAUAUUUUUCAUUAUUAUUAAGAUUGUAGAAAUUUGUUUUAGAAACAUCCUGUUAUUGUUUUGUGAAAGAACAUUUAAUUCUAAAUAUCCAUCAAACUCUGGAUUAGCUAUGACUGAAUCAAGUAUCAAAUUAUCAAUGCCUCUAACCAAUUGAAUCGUAGUGAUCAUUUUUAUGACAGCCCAUGAAGGAAAUAUUAGACCGUUUUAAAAGAGUGGAAUCUAAUUUUUACUGACAAAAGUAUGUAACAGUUAAAAAUUAGUGAUUUACUUUAAGAUUAUUACAUUUUGCUUAAAUGUAUGCUAUGUAAGAUGACAGUGAAAAAAAUAUUUUAACUUUAAAAUUAUUAUGUUUUGCUUAAAUGGACGCUAUAUGUGUGUUGACAUAAUGAUGAUGAUAGUGGUUAACUUUAAGAUUAUUACAUUUUGCUCACAUGCACGAUCUAUGUGUGUUGACAUAAUGAUAAAAUAUUAUUUAGUGAUUAAUUUUAAGAUUAUUACAUUUUGCUUACAAGCAUGCUAUAUAUGAUGACUGAAGAAUGCAAAGUAUUUGUUAAUAAUUUUUUUGUAUGCUCCACUAUAAUAUUUUUACUGCGUCUAAUUUGAGGUAUUAUGCUUUACUAGAAAAAUUCUGAAUCAGUUUUUCAUUCCCUAGGUUUACUUGAACAUAUGUAGGAGGGAAAUUAAAUAUUGGUCAUCUACGACAAGUAGUCAAUUAUUUACUCCAUCUAUGGAUAAUUACUGCAUAAACAUAUCAGCAUUUCCGGGGACAUACAAGUUUGUGAUGUUUCAAGGUGUAUGGGUCUUCAAAGAUUUCUCCUUUAUAAACAAUCAACGCUGAUUUUUGUUUUUAAAUGAAUAUCACACCCAAUUCUUGUUUUUGGUAUGACAUAAUACUUUAAAAGCAAGAUUUGUACAAUUCAUAUUGGUUCUUUGUUUUAAAGUAUGCUGAUUUCAUAAUGAGAUGUCUUUGUCAAGUGGAAUAAAUAUGAUCAGUUCC